rnacentral:ncRNA from 2 species
CAUCCAUCGAGACCGGCAGAGGGACAGGCCCUUUGAAGCCGGGGCAACCCAGCGCAGCGCAAGCGGCGCGAAGGUGCCAAUUCCUGCGGUGACCCGGUCGUCUGGCCGGUCACCGGAAGAUGGUUG